rnacentral:tRNA from 1 species
GGGGCUAUAGCUCAGUUGGCUAGAGCGCUACACUGGCAGUGUAGAGGUCGCCGGUUCGAGACCGGCUAGCUCCA